UACGUAGGGCGCAAGCGUUGUCCGGAAUUAUUGGGCGUAAAGAGCUCGUAGGCGGCUUGUCACGUCGGGUGUGAAAGCCCGGGGCUUAACCCCGGGUCUGCAUUCGAUACGGGCAGGCUAGAGUGUGGUAGGGGAGAUCGGAAUUCCUGGUGUAGCGGUGAAAUGCGCAGAUAUCAGGAGGAACACCGGUGGCGAAGGCGGUUCUCUGGGCAUGUCCUGACGCUGAGGAGCGAAAGUGUGGGGAGCGAACAGG
rnacentral:rRNA from 1 species